rnacentral:lncRNA from 1 species
GAUGUUUUCACGCUGUUGUAAAGCCCCAUUUGAAGGGAAGUGCGUGCCGGUACAUUCUCACUCUCCAAAAACCCGGAAACAAAAUAACCCCCUUGGAAGAAAUAAGAAAACUGGUACAAAGUCACCUAAAACUGAGUUUAAAUGAUAGAAAACGUGUCAAUGUGUCAGAGAGAGAGAAAAAGAGAGAGAGAGAGGGAACAACCUCCAAAACAGCGGGGAAGAGAAGUGAAACUAACCCAAUAAAUGUCCUGUUGAUAGUCUGUAAACUGAGAGACAGUUAAAGAAGGGUUCCUCCAUUUGGCUUUCAGUUCUCAGACAGGGAAAAAUAAAUUUGAGUAUUAAGCAUAGAUAAUUAGACCACGAAUAAAGCAAGUUGCAUUGUGACUCAUCAGACUAAAAGAAGACGUAGCUGUGGAUCCAACCAACAUGGGGAUUCUUGAGCAGCUUGACUUUUAAAAAUGACUUUUGGAAUUGCCUUGAAGGAAUUUAAUAGCUACACCAGAGAACUAGUCAGGUUAAAAAAUUGCAUUGCCUCUUUGGACCUAAACCUUAUUUACUAACUUGACUUUGAUUUGUUUUUGGUUGUUUCCAAAAUCAAAUUCCAGAUCCCACCUAUGGGACCUGCAAAGAAGGCAUUCAAAAACAUUAAUUGAAUGAAUGAAAACAUCCACCAGGAGGCAAUUUCCGCGCUUGAGGCAGUGCUCGAAGAGAAGCUCUAAACAGGUUUUGAGCAACAAUAAACCGCUGGUAUAAAUCCACGGGCUCCAGCUUACCAGCUUCUCUACAGAGUUCCUCUGCACACGAUCCACAGCAGAACUUUACACACAAGUGGGUGCAACAGACUCUGAUUGCAAAAGUAGAGAAGAUCUCUCUGGAAGGAAACCUCCCAAUGUUUUCACCACGAGCUGUCAUGAAGAGAGACCUUGUGAAGCUCCACUCCAGCUUAGCUGCUUGCAAGGACAUCCCAGUUUCCAGGCACCAAAGUCUGGUAAAGCAGUCACUCAGCCUUCGGCUCCAGGCAGCCCCCUCAGGGAUGUUCUACUUGCUCUUCCACCCUUGGAGGCCGGGCUACCACUGUGUUCCGAAAACUGAUGAGCAUCCAGCGGGCAGCUCGCAGUCAGCUCCCCAGGCUGAUACUGGUUCCCUGGUAAGUACAGAAGGUACAGAAGAGUACAGAAUCUUGAUAGUGGCAGAGAUUUGUGGGAGGUAUAAAGUGGAGAGGAUAAUCUAGAAAUAACAUUCCAAGAACUUGUAGAGAAAUUGUUCCACUCAUAGAGACUCUUGACUAGUGAAGACUCCCCCUCCAAUCAUGGAUCCCUCUCUCCAUGGGUCCAAGAGCAAAAUGCUCUUCAGGGUGGUCGAGGGGGAAUGACCUGGGCAUGGCAUGCUCCACACUCCACCCUCCCAUAUCUCUGGCAGGGAUGAUGCUUUAGUCAGGCAGCUCCACAGCUUCUAUUUGCCCAGAAAGCAGACAAAGGCUUUGAAUCACCUCUUAUAGAGAUGGG